rnacentral:rRNA from 1 species
UACGAGGGGAGCUAGCGUUGUUCGGAAUUACUGGGCGUAAAGGGCGCGUAGGCGGUAUCUUAAGUCAGAUGUGAAAGCCCCAGGCUCAACUUGGGAGGUGCAUUUGAGACUAUGGAACUAGAGAUCGAGAGAGGAAAGUGGAAUUACGAGUGUAGAGGUGAAAUUCGUAGAUAUUCGUAAGAACACCAGUGGCGAAGGCGACUUUCUGGCUCGAUACUGACGCUAAGGCGCGAAAGCGUGGGGAGCAAACAGG